CCUACGGGAGGCAGCAGUGAGGAAUAUUGGUCAAUGGACGAGAGUCUGAACCAGCCAAGUCGCGUGAAGGAUGACUGCUCUAUGGUUUGUAAACUUCUUUUAUAUGGGAAUAAAAUGUUCCACGUGUGGGAUUUUGUAUGUACCCUAUGAAUAAGCAUCGGCUAACUCCGUGCCAGCAGCCGCGGUAAUACGGAGGAUCCGAGCGUUAUCCGGAUUUAUUGGGUUUAAAGGGAGCGUAGGUUGAUUGUUAAGUCAGUUGUGAAAGUUUGCGGCUCAACCGUAAAAUUGCAGUUGAAACUGGCAGUCGUGAGUACAGUAGAGGUGGGCGGAAUGCGUGGUGUAGCGGUGAAAUGCAUAGAUAUCACGAAGAACUCCGAUUGCGAAGGCAGCUCACUGGACUGCAACUGACACUGAGGCUCGAAAGUGUGGGUAUCAAACAGGAUUAGAUACCCGUGUAGUC
rnacentral:rRNA from 1 species